rnacentral:misc_RNA from 1 species
GAAAUGCGAUAAGUAAUGUGAAUUGCAGAAUUCAGUGAAUCAUCGAAUCUUUGAACGCACAUUGCGCCCGCCAGUAUUCUGGCGGGCAUGCCUGUUCGAGCGUCAUUUCAACCAUCAAGCCCCCGGCUUGUGUUGGGGACCUGCGGCUGCCCGCAGGCCCUGAAAAACAGUGGCGGGCUCGCUGUCACACCGAGCGUAGUACCAUACAUUCUCGCUCAGGGCGUGCUGCGGGUUCCGGCCGUUAAACGACCUUCAUAACCCAAGGUUGACCUCGGAUCAGGUAGGAAGACCCGCUGAACUUAAGC